rnacentral:rRNA from 1 species
UCUACGGGCGGCAGCAGUGGGGAAUAUUGGACAAUGGGCGAAAGCCUGAUCCAGCCAUGCCGCGUGUGUGAAGAAGGCCUUCGGGUUGUAAAGCACUUUCAGUGGGGAAGAAAGCCUUGGGGCUAAUACCCUCGAGGAAGGACAUCACCCACAGAAGAAGCACCGGCUAACUCCGUGCCAGCAGCCGCGGUAAUACGGAGGGGUGCGAGCGUUAAUCGGAAUUACUGGGCGUAAAGCGCGCGUAGGCGGUCUGAUAAGCCGGUUGUGAAAGCCCCGGGCUCAACCUGGGAACGGCAUCCGGAACUGUCAGGCUAGAGUGCAGGAGAGGAAGGUAGAAUUCCCGGUGUAGCGGUGAAAUGCGUAGAGAUCGGGAGGAAUACCAGUGGCGAAGGCGGCCUUCUGGACUGACACUGACGCUGAGGUGCGAAAGCGUGGGUAGCAAGCAGGAUUAGAUACCCCAGUAGUC